GGCUCAGUGACGAACGCUGGCGGCGUGCUUAACACAUGCAAGUCGAGCGGUAAGGCCUUUCGGGGUACACGAGCGGCGAACGGGUGAGUAACACGUGAGCAAUCUACCCUCCACUUUGGGAUAACUCCCGGAAACGGGUGCUAAUACCGGAUAUGACCUGACGUGGCAUCGCGUUGGGUGGAAAGUUCUGGCGGUGGAGGAUGAGCUCGCGGCCUAUCAGCUUGUUGGUGGGGUAAUGGCCUACCAAGGCUUCGACGGGUAGCCGGCCUGAGAGGGUGACCGGCCACACUGGGACUGAGACACGGCCCAGACUCCUACGGGAGGCAGCAGUGGGGAAUAUUGGACAAUGGGCGAAAGCCUGAUCCAGCAACGCCGCGUGAGGGAUGACGGCCUUCGGGUUGUAAACCUCUUUCAGCACAGACGAAGCGAAAGUGACGGUAUGUGCAGAAGAAGCACCGGCCAACUACGUGCCAGCAGCCGCGGUAAUACGUAGGGUGCGAGCGUUGUCCGGAAUUAUUGGGCGUAAAGGGCUCGUAGGCGGUUUGUUGCGUCAGGAGUGAAAACUCGGGGCUUAACCCCGAGCCUGCUUCUGAUACGGGCAGACUUGAGGUAUGCAGGGGAGAACGGAAUUCCUGGUGUAGCGGUGAAAUGCGCAGAUAUCAGGAGGAACACCGGUGGCGAAGGCGGUUCUCUGGGCAUUACCUGACGCUGAGGAGCGAA
rnacentral:rRNA from 1 species